AAAGGAGCUGUCACUUCACAUUACGAUGCUGAGCUAUGGCAGAAAGCCACCCUGCGUGGGCACGCUUUGAAGUGAAGGGCCAGGAAUGUUCUGGUGCUACCAUCCACUUACUCCGGGGAUCUCUUCAAUUUGGUAACUGCAUUGCAAGAGGCUUGGCUCGUUCUUCUGGUGUCUCCAGCGAAGGUCCUCGUGAGCCGCUCCGGCAGAGACAGGGACUGCUCAGCUGCUGUGCCGUGGCGGAUCCUGCAACCGGCGGUGCAGCCGUGGCCUCUAGCCUGGGCACGCUUCUGCCGUGAGCCAGGCCAUGGACUUUGGACAAGGGAAAAACUAAAGAGUGUUUCAGUGACAUGGAGAGAAGAAGGAGAAAAAGGUCCUGCGCGUGGGCUCAGACAGCCUGGAAGCGCCGGCAGCAGUCAGCAGGAGGAGAGUGUCGCCGGGAUGUGCCGCUGCAAGGCCGAGAUAACCCAGCUCCUCGUCUUGCCCUUGGCUGCUAGGGUCUGCGUGCAGGCGGAGCUCUCCUGGCGCGGGGCGCUGCACAACGCCAUGCGCAGCCGUACCCCGAUGGCCGAGCGGAGAAAUCUGCGCUGCCGUGCUGUACGCUCGGUACGAGACACGUUUCUGGAUCAGUAAUCUAUCAUAAUUUUGUUGGACAGAAGGGAGUAGCACCAGGUUUCUUUCUUCUGGAGGAGAGAGAUUUUGAUUAAUUUUUCCCCUUCUCUUCAGGGUUAGCACUUUGCAUUAUAUAUGUUUCAAGGCAGGGAAAUUGCUUGCUUGACAGCUGUGGAUAAAACAUGAAACUUUAGAUAAUGUUUUAAAUUCACCAGGGACAAACCAGCUUCAAUGUAAUUGAUAAAUUAAACCGAAUUCAAAUAUCA
rnacentral:lncRNA from 1 species